rnacentral:rRNA from 1 species
CCUUGACAUCCACGGAAUUUGGCAGAGAUGCCUUAGUGCCUUCGGGAACCGUGAGACAGGUGCUGCAUGGCUGUCGUCAGCUCGUGUUGUGAAAUGUUGGGUUAAGUCCCGCAACGAGCGCAACCCUUAUCCUUUGUUGCCAGCGAUUCGGUCGGGAACUCAAAGGAGACUGCCGGUGAUAAACCGGAGGAAGGUGGGGAUGACGUCAAGUCAUCAUGGCCCUUACGGCCAGGGCUACACACGUGCUACAAUGGCGCAUACAAAGAGAAGCGACCUCGCGAGAGCAAGCGGACCUCAUAAAGUGCGUCGUAGUCCGGAUUGGAGUCUGCAACUCGACUCCAUGAAGUCGGAAUCGCUAGUAAUCGUAGAUCAGAAUGCUACGGUGAAUACGUUCCCGGGCCUUGUACACACCGCCCGUCACACCAUGGGAGUGGGUUGCAAAAGAAGUAGGUAGCUUAACCUUCGGGAGGGCGCUUACCACUUUGUGAUUCAUGACUGGGGUGAAGUCGUAACAAGGUAGGCGUAGCGAG